rnacentral:rRNA from 1 species
GAGUUCAAGAGUACUGAAACCGUUUAGGGGUAAACCUGAGAAACCCGAAAGGUCGAAGGGAGAAAUUCAUUCGCGUUUCGACGUCGGCGUGAAACGAGAUCGUGUGACGGAAAACGUUCGCGCGUAUUUCCGCACCUUUCGUUUUUCGAACUGAUAGCGAACGCGUGCACUUUUCUCCCGGUAGGACGUCGCGAUCCGUUGGGUGUCGGUCUACGGACCGCGGUGGAGCCCGUUCGUCGUGCUUAAUCGUACGUGUACGAACGGACCCGCGUGUUCCCGGCUGACUCGCUCGACGGUAUACGAAAGGUUUAAGGCCGCUCUAUUACGGAGCGUUCGGCACGCGGCAAGCGCGUCAGAUGCGUCGGCGAUCGGACCAAGUGCCGAUUCUGACCGCUGACGACUGUUGGCCGCGAUGUUCUCGAACAGACCUUCGGACCGAUCGGCGACGCAUAGCUUUGGGUACUUUCAGGACCCGUCUUGAA